UGAGGAAUAUUGGUCAAUGGGCGAGAGCCUGAACCAGCCAAGUAGCGUGCAGGAUGACGGCCCUAUGGGUUGUAAACUGCUUUUAUGUGGGGAUAAAGUGAGCUACGUGUAGUUUAUUGCAGGUACCACAUGAAUAAGGACCGGCUAAUUCCGUGCCAGCAGCCGCGGUAAUACGGAAGGUCCAGGCGUUAUCCGGAUUUAUUGGGUUUAAAGGGAGCGUAGGCCGUGGAUUAAGCGUGUUGUGAAAUGUAGACGCUCAACGUCUGAAUUGCAGCGCGAACUGGUUCACUUGAAUAUGCACAACGUAGGCGGAAUUCGUCGUGUAGCGGUGAAAUGCUUAGAUAUGACGAAGAACUCCGAUUGCGAAGGCAGCUUACGGGAGCACAACUGACGCUGAAGCUCGAAGGUGCGGGUAUCAAACAGGAUUAGAUACCCUGGUAGUCCGCACAGUAAACGAUGGAUGCCCGUUGUUAGUUCACUUAAGAAUUAGCGACCAAGCGAAAGCAUUAAGCAUCCCACCUGGGGAGUACGCCGGCAACGGUG
rnacentral:rRNA from 1 species